rnacentral:rRNA from 1 species
AACGAACGCUAGCGGGAUGCCUCAAACAUGCAAGUCGCACGCGAAAGUCUUCGGACGAGUAGAGUGGCGCACGGGUGAGUAACACGUAGCUAAUGUACCUUUUCGCUGGGGAUAACUCCGGGAAACCGGAGCUAAUACCGAAUAGUCCAACGAGAUCUGCGGGUCUUGUUGGCAAAGCCGUAAGGCGCGAAAAGAUCAGGCUGCGGUCCAUUAGCUUGUUGGUGGGGUAAUGGCCUACCAAGGCGACGAUGGAUAGCUGGUCUGAGAGGAUGAUCAGCCACACUGGAACUGAAACACGGUCCAGACUCCCACGGGAGGCAGCAGUUGGGAAUUUUGGACAAUGGGGGCAACCCUGAUCCAGCAAUCCCGCGUGAGUGACGAAGGUCUUCGGAUCGUAAAGCUCUUUUAGUUGGGAAGAAGGGAAACUUGACUGUACCAACAGAAAAGCACCGGCUAACUCUGUG